GCGGGGUGGAGCAGCCUGGUAGCUCGUCGGGCUCAUAACCCGAAGGUCGUCGGUUCAAAUCCGGCCCCCGCAACCAA
rnacentral:tRNA from 3 species